rnacentral:piRNA from 1 species
UAAGAGUGAUGAAGAACCAGAAGU